GAGCUAUAAUUUAUUAAGCCGCUAACUUAAUUACUAACGUAUAAAAAUGUUAAUAGCUCU
rnacentral:tRNA from 1 species